AUCUCUGGAAUAUUAAUUGUAGAUGCAAAGUUUCCUGAAAAAACCGUUCCUAAUAUGGUAAUUAAAAGCAUAGGAA
rnacentral:sRNA from 1 species